ensembl:lncRNA
GUAUGGUCCUUAGAAAAUUAUUUUUGUAUGUUAAUUUAAAAAUUGUUUUAUAUAACGUGGAGAAACUAACUGGAUGUAGACCUGGAAGCUUCAUCCCUUCUGCUAGCUUUCACACUGCUGUUCAUGCUGCUGCAAGCAAAUGUAGCCAUCGUUCUUAACUUGCUAUGAACUGCUACAGUAGUGACUGUCCUGCUAAGAUAUGCCCGUGAGGGUCAUGGGAAUGGCCAACUGCUCUGUGAUUUAAGACCAGAUCAAUGAGAUAGAAUUCAUACCUGGCCCUGCUAUCUGGUUCAAAGACCUGUGGCUGGAUAGGUCAUGGGCCCUAGCGGCUAAUCUACUAGUAUUCUGUUAAAUGGGCAUUGCAUUAAAUGAUUUCUGGUGGUUUAUUCUUCUACCAUAGAUUAGUGUUUCCCUCAACAUUCACCAGGUAAGCCUUUUGCAGUAGAUGGCAAUUCAGAAGCCCAGAGAACGGAGACUGCUGCGGGCUCAGCCCUAAGUGGGACAUGUCUGUCACUCUCCUCCCUACCGAGGCUUAGGGAUCAGUGCAGAGGAGGGAGCAAAAGCACUGUAAAGCCACAAGUGGUAGAUGACAUUAGGAAGACACUUUCCAUAUAGCAGGACAACUGUCAUGUGGACUCAUAGCUAGGUGACAGCAUGCAAUGAGCUUGAAUCCCAGACAGGAUCUCGGCAUGGAGCAGGGUAGACUGGGUACUAAGUCACACCCCUAGCUGAGAGGCUACCGGCAUUUGGUAGCUUCUAGGAGAGAAAGAGUCAGAUUCCUUUGAAGGCGUGAUUCCUUAUAUGUGGAGCACCCCCGGGGUAGGCUUAUAGUCAAGAAGAGUUGAGCAACACAGAUUGGACUGGACUUUUUUUUAAGAGGACACAAAGUUGGGUGGAUAGGGGAAGGAGUGUGAAUACAAUCCAAAUAAAUUGUAUAAUAUUCUCAAAGAAUAUUAUUUAAAAAAUUAGAAAUUGUUUCAUGACUCUUAAUAUAAUACUCUUUUUGUUAAUUUAUCUACCUUUUUAGACAAAUGUAUAUAUUUUAAACCAAAUUGUCAUCAUCCAACAUGGACAUCAGUCUGGAAAAUGUAUUAGAAAAAAAUGCUCAUAAAUUCUUAAUCAAGUCUUUGAAAAAUGCAGGUGACUUUUUUUGAGACAGGUUUCACUGGGUAGCCCUGGGUGGCCUGGACUAUCUAAUCCAGUCUGGCUUCUAACUGAGGGAUGUGUCUGCCCCAACCUCCGGUGUGCUAGCUAGAAUUAAAGGCCAGCAGUACUAAACCUGGCUUCCUUGUUAAUCUGAAGAUAAAACUUCAUUGUCCUACCUUCAUUUCACAUCCUUCCUUUUAGUUUGCUAUUACCAGGGUGCUUUUGCUUUGUCAGCCUGGGGGUUAAAUGUGUCUGUUGUUACAGUCUAAGGAAUAUGGCACAGCCUAUGUGGCAGUAGGGGUAAGGAAACCGUGCUGCUAUUUCUGUAUGGUGCUACCCCAUCCUUUAUAGUACCGAAUCUGAACUUACCUUUUUCUCUGUGCAAUCAUGGCAUCAGUAAAGAACGGAUAAAUAAAGUGUGUUGGAGACAUAUACUAGAAUACCAGCAGUACUACCUGGAAUGGUUUUAUGAUACGUGCCAUGACCAGGAGGAGCCUUGCCGAUCAUGAAAAGACAAGAGUGGUUUCUUUCCACUAGGAGUCAAGUUCAUAUAGACAGUAAGGAGGGCAGUGUUUACAGGGCUUGGGAGGAGGGGAUGAGGAAGUCAGUGUUUAGCAGGUACAGAGUUUCUGUUUGCGAAUAUGAGAAAGUCCUGAGGGUAGGAGGCAUUGCUGGUUGGACAUGGUGAAUGUGCUUAGUGCCACCAAACUGUACACUUAAAGUCUAUUAAGUGGCUAAUUUUAUAUUAUGUAGAUUAUACUGGAAUUAAAAAAAUUACUUCUGAACUCAGGUAAAUAUGGGUAUAUCGAAGCUAUAAGCUAUGUAUGUAUCCACAGUCACUGUCUACAUUUGUAUGUGUUUUUAAAGAUGAACCUCAUUAAAAUCUCAUAAUUAUAAUCUGAAAUCAUUGUGGUG